GAUGAACGCUGGCGGCGUGCCUAAUACAUGCAAGUCGAGCGAACAGACGAGGAGCUUGCUCCUCUGACGUUAGCGGCGGACGGGUGAGUAACACGUGGAUAACCUACCUAUAAGACUGGGAUAACUUCGGGAAACCGGAGCUAAUACCGGAUAAUAUAUUGAACCGCAUGGUUCAAUAGUGAAAGACGGUUUUGCUGUCACUUAUAGAUGGAUCCGCGCCGCAUUAGCUAGUUGGUAAGGUAACGGCUUACCAAGGCGACGAUGCGUAGCCGACCUAAGAGGGUGAUCGGCCACACGAGAACUAGGACACGGUCCAGACUCCUACGGGAGGCAGCAGUAGGGAAUCUUCCGCAAUGGGCGAAAGCUUGACGGAGCAACGCCGCGUGAGUGAUGAAGGUCUUCGGAUCGUAAAACUCUGUUAUUAGGGAAGAACAAAUGUGUAAGUAACUAUGCACGUCUUGACGGUACCUAAUCAGAAAGCCACGGCUAACUACGUG
rnacentral:rRNA from 1 species